rfam:Phytophthora infestans T30-4 supercont1.88 genomic scaffold, whole genome shotgun sequence.
GCCCUUAUAGCUUAAUGGUAGAGCCUUGGCCUGGAAGGCCAAAGGCCAGUGGAUCGAUCCCCGUCCGGGACA